rnacentral:lncRNA from 1 species
CUCUCUCUCUCAAUUGUGCAUAGGCAUAGAUGGUAAGUGGAGAAUCUCUCUAAAAGUUUUCUAGAGCACCUGACAGGAUUACCAUAAAAGUCUAGCUCAUAGGAAGCUACCGGUCCUGUGUGCGAGGUUCCGGAUCACGCCUGGGAGGGACUAAGGUCAUGUAUGCACUAUACCAGGAGACAUCCACUCAGACCUUAACCCUGAUUUCUUGCUAUUUUAACCUUCUCAUUUGAAAGCAUUUCUAUAUAAAAGCAGCAUUGUCUCAGUGUCGCAGCGUUACAGCACAUGUGAGCUGUGCUGGAGAAUUCCCGGGAGUCUAGGGCUCCCUUUUCACUGCAUGUCCCCAUCGGGGUUCCUGUCCCUCUUUCAUACCUCAGGGUCAGUGAGCCUGCUUGGGUGUUGUGCAGUAGAAGCUCGCUGAGCGUCCUGCUCGGUAUGGGUCCUGCAGUAUGGGAAGGUUACCCUCUUUUGGACACUGCUUCUUGAGUUGGUAGUGACCCUGAGCUGAAGAACCCAGCCUGCCUCCUUUCAGCUCCUUGAGUAGCAGACCACUGGGCUCCAUGGCUUCCUUUUGGGGGCUGAGAGAGGUGCCGGCUAACAGGCAGCCCAGUACUGGCUUGUCUCCAGGAAGACAGUGCUGACACGUGGAGUCACCAAUGGUGACCACACCCACAAUGAACACGCUGCGACCCAUGGCUUUCACAGGAGCUGUUGCCUCUUGACUUCUCAUGAAGUCUAUUUCCCAGUAACUCCCGAGCCCUCCAUAAAUGCUCACCCCAGAGCACCCAGAGCCUUCUGCCAACAUCCUGGCUGUCUCUAUCUUCUGGACCACAUGCUAGCACCAGGAGAAGAUGCUAUGAAGCAGCGUUUCAGGUUGUUUGUUCUGGACACAAUGGACUCCCACGCCAUCCACCCAUCAACCACACAGCACAUCCUACAGCGCUCAGCUACUGUGUGGUGUUUUGAGCAUCGUGCCAGGUGGUGAGUGUACCAAAGUCAGCAAACCCGACACACAUCCCUGCCCUCAUGGAAUUCACCAUCUGGCGGGAGAGAAAGACAUUAAUCAAGGAAGUGCGAGGACCACUGCACGCUCUCGGCUGAGAUGAGGGCUAGAGUUCUCGCUCUUGAACUGGGUUGCAGCCUCAAGUCGUGGACCUGGAUGGGAGGGUGCUGAUGAACUUGCCAAUAGUAAAAGGACCCAAAAAUGAAUUCAAAAUUAAAAUCGUUGUGAAUCAGAGGAAUUUCCAUUGGUGUUCAUCGCCCUUGGCUCCAAGAGUAGAACAUGUCACUUUGCACUGAUGCCAUCAUGCCAGCCACUGAAUGCUGACUGAAGUGCCUGGCUGAGAUUCAAAAAGUGAAGGCUGUUUACUGCACACACAGGGUUCUCUGCUCUUACAGAAACACAGUAGCUUAACUAUGGAAAGGACAUUAGCAUUUCCCUACCAUUGCUCCUCAGCACACAAGCAUCAGGUUCCCAGACCUUUGGAUUGUAUUGUGUUAGAGUGUUUGAUUUUAAAAGUUGCUACUUGAGAGGCCUGGCAAGAUGGCUCAGUGCAUAAAGGCAGGUGUCCCCACACCUGACACCCUGAGUUCAAUCCCCAAGCAGGCUCCACACAGUGGAAAGUGAGAAUUGACUCUUGCAUGCUGUUCUGGCCUCCUCUUAUGGGGUGUGGCGUGUGGGCUCCUAUGAGCACACACACAUAUACACCCACAUAAAUAAAUUAAAAUAUUUAAAUUUUGCUGCUUGAGACACUGAGUUUCAUCAAAAAAAAGUUAACUGAAAUUUGGCUUGGGAUUAGGACAGAAUUUCUGAAAACUUCUGAAAUGUACUAAAACAUACUUCUGCCAUUUUGUACUGAAUAUUUAUGCAAGGAGGUCUUCUUAUCAGUGACAAUUAUGAAAUCGAAAUAUCAAUCAAUUCUGAAAAACACUGAAGAUGCUGUAUUCUGCAGUGUCAGAUACUCAGCCAAAAAUUAACAGGCAUCGAUCUCAUCAAUAUUCACAUAUGGGUUUUUUUAAUAAACAGUGUAUGUAUGUGUAUAAAAGAGUUGUUCUAAAAUAAAUGUAUA